GCUCCAUAAAGUCGGGGAGAGGGCCGAGCUGUUAGGACCCCGCACCGCCUCGGCCCUGAGGGGGCGGCAAGCCCCGCCCCGCGCCCCCAGCGCGCGCUGGGCUCCGCCUCUCCUCACCGGGUGCACGCGGGCACCUGAGGGCAGGCUCCGCCCCCUCCCGCCCCUCUCGCCGUUCUCUUUUAAACCGAGCUCGCGCAGCGCGUGGCGCCGGGCCUGGGUGCGGCGGUGGCGACUUCGGCCUCUGGCAGCCUUUCGUCCGCGCUGAGGCGGUCCCCGCGGCCCCUUCGCCGCCCCCUCACCCCCCCCCCCCCUCACCCGCUGCGGCGGCCCCGCGGAUCAGAAAUGACUACCCCAAACAAGACACCACCUGGUGCUGAUCCAAAGCAGUUAGAGAGGACUGGUACAGUUAGAGAAAUAGGCUCACAAGCAGUUUGGUCUCUUUCAUCCUGUAAGCCAGGAUUUGGAGUGGAUCAGUUACGAGAUGAUAAUCUAGAAACUUACUGGCAGUCAGAUGGAUCACAGCCUCAUUUGGUGAACAUCCAAUUUAGAAGAAAAACAACAGUGAAGACAUUAUGUAUUUAUGCAGACUACAAAUCUGAUGAAAGUUACACUCCGAGCAAGAUCUCUGUCAGAGUAGGAAAUAAUUUUCAUAAUCUCCAAGAAAUUCGGCUUCAGCACACUAUCUGCCAAGCUCAAGGGAAGUAACUGAGAUUCACAUUGGAGCCAAAUCCCUGUAGGUCUGAAGGAUUUCCCCUGAUACCAGAAGUGUUCUCAAAGCUUAAUAGCAGUGCACCUGCAAAGAUGCCUGCCUUUUACCAGGAGUUCACAGUGAAAGAUCCUCAAGAUGCUGGCGAGCUGCUUUUGCUGGAUGUAAUAAAGCAGAAGUGUUGCUUUACAGGCCAUUUUCUAAAGAAUAUUUAAUUCUUGCCGGACUUCUCACCACUUCAUUCAGCAGUUCAGAAGUGAGUGAAAUGAAGACAAGCUACGGGUGAUUCUGGACAUAUAUACACUGUCACUUACAAACAGCUUAACUGCAUAAACUGAAUUGGCGCACUUGAUGGGUUUAAUUAUUUAUAUGGGUGCAAAUGAUUCCGAGAGAAAUUCAGCAAGAUGUGUUGAAAACUGAUCUGUACAAAAUGAAGUCAAAUUUAGUGCAUUCAUUAAAAUUUUGCCUAAUAUGUUUUGUCAUGUUUUUCAUAGUGUUUCCCUGUUGAGCUGAUUGAGCACUUCACUAGUAUAUUUUCAUUUUUCUGUGGUCUAGUUGACUUCUAUGCUACUUCUAGGUUCAGAUACACAUUCUGUGACAAAUAUUUAUUUUGGUAAUCUGUAUCAGUAAACUUUACUUACUUUCUGGC